rnacentral:lncRNA from 1 species
GGAGUUGCAGUUGGAGGCUGCGGGAAUACAAAGUGACACUGACUGCCGGGUAACUGUCUCUCAGGACAUUUGUGCUUUGAGUCUCUGCAACUCUGGACCAUCUCUGCAGGCUAAAAGAUGUGCCUGUUGCUAAGAGGAGGAGCCCUGCAGCAGGAAUCCGGUGCCAGCUGACCUGGAACAACCUGAUCUCCAGAAAGCAUCCCUGUUAUACUCAAAUGGGCCUUCCAGAUGAGCCCUGGAUCCAGCCUUUCUUUGACUAUGAACCUAAACGUAAGAAAGAGAAGUUUCUUGACUCCCUAAAAACGAGUCAUAAUGCUUUCUGAAACUGAGUCUCUUCUGCUUCUGGAAACUGAGUCUUAGUGCAAAGAAAUCCCUCUGUAUUUUCUUGAUUUCCAUCUUGAUUCUCUAUUUUAAAGAUAAAAUAGCUGUU